ACGGGUGAGUAAUAUAUCGGAACGUGCCCAGUCGUGGGGGAUAACGUAGAGAAAUUUACGCUAAUACCGCAUACGAUCUAAGGAUGAAAGCGGGGGAUCGCAAGACCUCGCGCGAUUGGAGCGGCUGAUAUCAGAUUAGGUUGUUGGUGAGGUAAAAGCUCACCAAGCCGACGAUCUGUAGCUGGUUUGAGAGAACGACCAGCCACACUGGGACUGAGACACGGCCCAGACUCCUACGGGAGGCAGCAGUGGGGAAUUUUGGACAAUGGGCGAAAGCCUGAUCCAGCAAUGCCGCGUGCAGGAAGAAGGCCUUCGGGUUGUAAACUGCUUUUGUACGGAACGAAACGGCUCUUUCUAAUAAAGAGGGCUAAUGACGGUACCGUAAGAAUAAGCACCGGCUAACUACGAGCCAGCAGCCGCGGUAAUACGUAGGGUGCGAGCGUUAAUCGGAAUUACUGGGCGUAAAGCGUGCGCAGGCGGUUAUAUAAGACAGUUGUGAAAUCCCCGGGCUCAACCUGGGAAUUGCAUCUGUGACUGUAUAGCUAGGGUACGGUAGAGGGGGAUGGAAUUCCGCGUGUAGCAGUGAAAUGC
rnacentral:rRNA from 1 species